rnacentral:rRNA from 1 species
GAUGAACGCUGGCGGCGUGCCUAAUACAUGCAAGUCGAGCGAACGGACGAGAAGCUUGCUUUUCUGAUGUUAGCGGCGGACGGGUGAGUAACACGUGGAUAACCUACCUAUAAGACUGGGAUAACUUCGGGAAACCGGAGCUAAUACCGGAUAAUAUUUUGAACCGCAUGGUUCAAAAGUGAAAGACGGUCUUGCUGUCACUUAUAGAUGGAUCCGCGCUGCAUUAGCUAGUUGGUAAGGUAACGGCUUACCAAGGCAACGAUGCAUAGCCGACCUGAGAGGGGGAUCGGCCACACUGGAACUGAGACACGGUCCAGACUCCUGCGGGAGGCAGCAGUAGGGAAUCUUCCGCAAUGGGCGAAAGCCUGACGGAGCAACGCCGCGUGAGUGAUGAAGGUCUUCGGAUCGUAAAACUCUGUUAUUAGGGAAGAACAUAUGUGUAAGUAACUGUGCACAUCUUGACGGUACCUAAUCAGAAAGCCACGGCUAACUACGUG